GAGGCUUCAGUACGACCCAGUCAGAACUAUAAGUCUCAAAGCCCCGACGAGUAGGGUGGCGUGCCGGUGAGCGUUGAAGGCCAAGACGUGAGUCAGGCUGGAGCCGCCGGUAGUGCAGAUCUUGGUGGUAGUAGCAAGUACUCUGGUGAACCAACCUGGAGCUGUGAGGUCUGGAUUAGGGUUCCAUGUCAACAGUGAUUGAACAUGGGUGAGUCGAUCCUAAGCCAACUGUGAAAGCAGUGACAUCCCGACAAAGGUGGGCAUUAAAAAGUGGUGUGCAGGCAUUGCUACUCUCGUCGCCUUCUCUCGAUAUAAGGGCUUCGAUGAUCUUGCAAAAAUAGGGAUUCCUUGCCUGAAUGACGCUAAGGUUACGCUCAAGGGCGUUGAUGAUGAGGAAAGAGAGAUGGCUAUGGCGAUGAGGUAGUGAUGAUAUGCUUUAGCGAGAGCGGGCAUGCGUUGCACACCACCUAAACAAUCUGCGUUGGUUCUAUGUCUGGCGAAAGGGAAUGGGGACUUUGUUCCUUGACCGGUCCCGGCACCCUCGAUAGGCUUUGCCAUUCAAUGGUCCAUGCAAAUGGAACCAGGCCACAGCCGCCGGCAGUCGCCCGAGGAAGAGUUUUCUUUUCUGCUUAACGCACGAGAUCAUCCCUGGAAACAGUUCGGCUGGCGAAAGGGUGCCCCGUUGCGGCAGAGCGCCACGACUGUCGUGCGCGUCUCGGUGUUCCUGCCGGUCCGUGAAGACGUGGUCGAGGGGAUUGCACUUGUAUCAACGAAACGCCCGACAAGUUCGGGACGGACCGUACCCUAUAUCCGCAUCUGGUCUCCAAGGUUCGUAGCCUCUGCAGAGUCAGACACAUGUAGGUAAGGGAAGUCGGCAAACUCGAUCCGUAACUUCGGGAAAAGGAUUGGCUCUGAGGGCCGAGCUGGGCCGGGCCUUGCCUGCAAAGCAGUACCUAUAGUGACCGGAGUUUUAGGAGUGCGAGGGGCUCUAGUAGCUGCAUGCGUUCACUCGUGUGUACGAACGAGUUUACCGCUCCGCUCCAACCACGAACGGCUGUGACGGCAAGGGCUCUGGGCGGGAGCGUUCAAACCGUUUUCUUGCCAGCUCGUCUGGUCGGUGGCGGUGCUUCGUCUGACCCAUACGGCUCCAGCGGCUAGCGGCUAACUCAGAACUGUCAUGGACCAAGGGAAUCCGACUGUCUAAUUAAAACAAAGCGUCGUGACGGCCCCUGUUGGGUGCUGACGCGACGUGAUNUC
rnacentral:rRNA from 1 species